rnacentral:tRNA from 1 species
GCCGUGGUGGCGGAAUUGGUAGACGCGCUAGCUUGAGGGGCUAGUGUCCGUAAACUGGACAUGGAGGUUCGAGUCCUCUCCACGGCA